rnacentral:rRNA from 1 species
GAUGAACGCUAGCGGCAGGCUUAAUACAUGCAAGUCGAGGGACAGCACAGGUAGCAAUACUGGGUGGUAACCGGCAAACGGGUGCGGAACACGUACACAACCUUCCUUUAAGUGGGGGAUAGCCCAGAGAAAUUUGGGUUAAUACCCCGUAAUAUAGUUGAAUGGCAUCAUUUGAUUAUUAUAGCUACGGCGCUUAAUGAUGGGUGUGCGGCUGAUUAGAUAGUUGGCGGGGUAACGGCCCACCAAGUCUACGAUCAGUAGCUGAUGUGAGGGCAUGAUCAGCCACACGGGCACUGAGACACGGGCCCGACUCCUACGGGAGGCAGCAGUAAGGAAUAUUGGUCAAUGGACGCAAGUCUGAACCAGCCAUGCCGCGUGAAGGAUUAAGGUCCUCUGGAUUGUAAACUUCUUUUAUUUGGGACGAAAAAGGGCCUUUCUAGGUCAACUGACGGUACCAGAUGAAUAAGCACCGGCUAACUCCGUGCCAGCAGCCGCAGUAACAC